GAAGUAAAAGUCGUAACAAGGUUUCCGUAGGUGAACCUGCGGAAGGAUCAUUACCGAGUGAGGGCCCUCUGGGUCCAACCUCCCACCCGUGUUUAUUUUACCUUGUUGCUUCGGCGGGCCCGCCUUAACUGGCCGCCGGGGGGCUUACGCCCCCGGGCCCGCGCCCGCCGAAGACACCCUCGAACUCUGUCUGAAGAUUGUAGUCUGAGUGAAAAUAUAAAUUAUUUAAAACUUUCAACAACGGAUCUCUUGGUUCCGGCAUCGAUGAAGAACGCAGCGAAAUGCGAUACGUAAUGUGAAUUGCAAAUUCAGUGAAUCAUCGAGUCUUUGAACGCACAUUGCGCCCCCUGGUUUCCGGGGGCGUGCCUGUCCGAGCGUCAUUGCUGCCCUCAGCGCGGCUUGUUGUUGGGCCCCGUCCUCCGACCCGGGGACGGGCCCGAGGGCAGCGGCGGCCCGCGUCCGUCCUCGAGCGUAUGGGCUUUCACCGUUCUGUAGGCCCGGCCCGGCGCUGCCGAUCCAACCCAAAUUUUUCCCAGGUGACCUUCGGAUCAGGUAGG
rnacentral:rRNA from 1 species